rnacentral:rRNA from 1 species
GCAGUCGACGGUGAAGGUGGGAGCUUGCUCCUGCUGGAUCAGUGGCGAACGGGUGAGUAACACGUGAGUAACCUGCCCUUGACUCUGGGAUAAGCGUUGGAAACGACGUCUAAUACCGGAUACGAGCUUCAGCCGCAUGGCUAGGAGCUGGAAAGAAUUUCGGUCAAGGAUGGACUCGCGGCCUAUCAGCUAGUUGGUGAGGUAAUGGCUCACCAAGGCGACGACGGGUAGCCGGCCUGAGAGGGUGACCGGCCACACUGGGACUGAGACACGGCCCAGACUCCUACGGGAGGCAGCAGUGGGGAAUAUUGCACAAUGGGCGAAAGCCUGAUGCAGCAACGCCGCGUGAGGGACGACGGCCUUCGGGUUGUAAACCUCUUUUAGCAGGGAAGAAGCGAAAGUGACGGUACCUGCAGAAAAAGCACCGGCUAACUACGUGCCAGCAGCCGCGGUAAUACGUAGGGUGCAAGCGUUGUCCGGAAUUAUUGGGCGUAAAGAGCUCGUAGGCGGUUUGUCGCGUCUGCUGUGAAAACGCGAGGCUCAACCUCGCGCCUGCAGUGGGUACGGGCAGACUAGAGUGCGGUAGGGGAGAUUGGAAUUCCUGGUGUAGCGGUGGAAUGCGCAGAUAUCAGGAGGGAACACGAUGGCGAAGGCAGAUCUCUGGGGCGUAACUGACGC